AUGCACUCUAAAAAUGGCUGGGUUAUUUUUUAACCCAAAAUGCUGGGUUGAGUCUGUUGGGUUGUUUUGCUGGGUUAAUUUUUAACAUUUUAAACACUUUUUGGGUAGUUUCAGUUUUCUGGUUGUUGGGUUAAAACUGCUGGGUUAUUAUACUGGGUUGUUUGAAGAGGCUCACGUGCUUCGCGCCUUUGAUGUUUGAAUGUGCUCAGCAACGGUCGUCGUGAAAGGACAGAGUCACUGGAAGCAGUUGUUUCAAGAGAGUGCAGAGUUUUUGUGUCCAUCCAUUGAUGAGGCUAGCAAGACCUUCAUACAACUUCAGCCAAUUGCAACAAAUGUGGUGGAAGUUCUUCUCUGGACAGAAUCCUCGAAAUCCUUUCCUUUAUUUCCUGGCCAUGGGAAACAUGCAACAGAUCUCUCAAUCUUUUUUCUCUAUCAGUCUCUCUGAUGGAGCCAAUACGGAAGUGACUUAAACUGCAAUUCGGCCAAGAUGGCGACGGCACGCACCGCCUACUGUAGGCUUCAAAAAUGCUCUUCACAACCAAUGGGUGACAUCACGGACACUACUUUCAUAUUUUUUUACAGUCUAUGGUUUAAAGGCAUUUUACGUGCUUGAAAAUAAAUACCCCAGGCAAUGUGCAUCUACUGUAGUCUGUCAUUUUCCAAAUGGAUGAAUCCUCUGCUGUUCGGUUCCUUUGUACAUCUUUGUUCGUGAGGAGUAACUUUAAUAAAUGAAGUAUUUUUAGUCAAAUACAUUCCAUACUCUGAAACUUGGAACAUCUGUUCUGUAAAAAACAUCUAUAAAUGAUUUUACUUUUAAUUUAACAAUUACAUUGUUUAUUUUCUUACACUGCUGCAGUUUUGUUUAUGUACAUUUCAGUAUUUCAUUUAUAUAUUGUAUAUACUUAUAUACAAAUUCUGUCUUAAAUUCAAACAAUUUGAUUUAACCUGUUACAUUGUUACUUCAAUGUGCAUAAUUUCUGAUAUUUAAUAAAUAUAUUUAUACUUGAUGUCAGU